rnacentral:rRNA from 1 species
AGCGAACGCUGGCGGCAGGCUUAACACAUGCAAGUCGAACGGGCUUCUUCGGAAGUCAGUGGCAGACGGGUGAGUAACACGUGGGAACGUGCCCUUCGGUUCGGAAUAACUCAGGGAAACUUGAGCUAAUACCGGAUACGCCCUUAUGGGGAAAGGUUUACUGCCGAAGGAUCGGCCCGCGUCUGAUUAGCUUGUCGGUGGGGUAACGGCCUACCAAGGCGACGAUCAGUAGCUGGUCUGAGAGGAUGAUCAGCCACACUGGGACUGAGACACGGCCCAGACUCCUACGGGAGGCAGCAGUGGGGAAUAUUGGACAAUGGGCGCAAGCCUGAUCCAGCCAUGCCGCGUGAGUGAUGAAGGCCUUAGGGUUGUAAAGCUCUUUUGUCCGGGACGAUAAUGACGGUACCGGAAGAAUAAGCCCCGGCUAACUUCGUG